rnacentral:rRNA from 1 species
UACGGAGGGUGCGAGCGUUGUCCGGAAUCACUGGGCGUAAAGGGCGCGUAGGCGGCCUGAUAAGUAGGGGGUGAAAUCCUGCGGCUUGAACCGCAGGGCUGCCUUCUAAACUGUCAGGCUGGAGCACAGUAGAGGCAGGUGGAAUUCCCGGGUGUAGCGGUGGAAUGCGUAGAGAUCGGGAAGAACAUCAGUGGCGAAGGCGGCCUGCUGGGCUGGUGCUGACCGCUGAGGCGCGACAGCGUGGGGAGCAAACAGG